rnacentral:rRNA from 1 species
UACGUAGGGGGCAAGCGUUGUCCGGAUUUAUUGGGCGUAAAGCGCGUGUAGGCGGCCAGGUAGGUCCGCUGUGAAAACCCGAGGCUCAACCUCGGGACGUCGGCGGAAACCAUCUGGCUAGAGUCCGGAAGAGGCGAGUGGAACUCCUGGUGUAGCGGUGGAAUGCGCAGAUAUCAGGAAGAACACCAACGGCGAAGGCAGCUCGCUGGGACGGUACUGACGCUGAGACGCGAAAGCGUGGGGAGCGAACAGG